rnacentral:rRNA from 1 species
UACGUAGGCAGCGAGCGUUGUCCGGAUUUAUUGGGCGUAAAGAGCGUGUAGGCGGCUUGGUAGGUCUCGCGUCAAAACCUGAGGCUCAACCUCAGUUCGCGUGGGAAACCACCUAGCUAGAGUCCGGAAGAGGAGAACGGGAAUUUCCAGUGUAGCGGUGAAAUGACGCAGAUAUUGGGAAGAACACCAGUGGCGAAGGCGGUUCUCUGGGACGGUACUGACGCUGAGACGCGAAAGCGUGGGGAGCCGAACGAGG